GACGGAGGAUGCAAGUGUUAUCCGGAAUCACUGGGCGUAAAGCGUCUGUAGGUGGUUCGAAAAGUCCACUGUUAAAAAUUGAGGCUUAACCUCAAAGAUGCCGUGGAAACUUUCAAACUAGAGUAUGGUAGGGGUAGAGGGAAUUUCCAGUGGAGCGGUGAAAUGCGUAGAUAUUGGAAAGACCACCGAUGGCGAAGGCGACUCUACUGGGCCAUUACUGACACUGAGAGACGAAAGCUAGGGGAGCAAAUGGG
rnacentral:rRNA from 1 species